rnacentral:rRNA from 1 species
UACGGGGGGGGCAAGCGUUGUUCGGAAUUACUGGGCGUAAAGGGUUUGUAGGUGGCUUGUUAAGUCAGACGUGAAAUCCCUCAGCUUAACUGGGGAACUGCGUCUGAGACUGGUGAGCUUGAGUUCGGGAGAGGUGAGUGGAACUGCGAGUGUAGAGGUGAAAUUCGUAGAUAUUCGCAAGAACACCAGUGGCGAAGGCGGCUCACUGGCCCGAUACUGACGCUGAGGCACGAAAGCGUGGGGAGCAAACAGG